GAUGAAGAACGUAGCGAAAUGCGAUACGUAAUGUGAAUUGCAAAUUCAUUGAAUCAUCGAGUCUUUGAACGCACAUUGCGCCCCCUGGUAUUCCGGGGGGCAUGCCUGUCCGAGCGUCAUUGCUGCCCUCAAGCACGGCUUGUGUGUUGGGCCCCGUCCUCCGAUCCCGGGGGACGGGCCCGAAAGGCAGCGGCGGCACCGCGUCCGGUCCUCGAGCGUAUGGGGCUUUGUCACCCGCUCUGUAGGCCCGGCCGGCGCUUGCCGAUCAACCCAAAUUUUUUAUCCAGGUUGACCUCGGAUCAGGUAGGGAUACCCGCUGAACUUAAGCAUAUCAAUAAGCGGAGGA
rnacentral:misc_RNA from 1 species